rnacentral:rRNA from 1 species
GACGAACGCUGGCGGCGUGCCUAAUACAUGCAAGUAGGACUAGUUGCGAACGGGUGAGUAACCUUAGGUAACCUACCUAUUAGAGGGGGAUAACUAUUGGAAACGAUAGCUAAUACCGCAUACCAUCUUAUGUGCCCAGAUGGGAUUAGCUAGUAGGUGGGGUAACGGCUCACCUAGGCGACGCUCCCUAGCUGGUCUGAGAGGAUGACCAGCCACACUGGAACUGGGAAACGGUCCAGACUCCUACGGGAGGCAGCAGUGGGGAAUAUUGCGCAAUGGGCGAAAGCCUGAUGCAGCCAUGCCGCGUGUAUGAAGAAGGCCGUCGGGUUGUAAAGUACUUUCAGCGAGGAGGCGUUACUCGCAGAAGAAGCACCGGCUAACUCCGUGCCAGCAGCCGCGGUAAUUC